GCGUGAAGGAGAAAGGUACAAGCCUAACCGGUUCGCAAGCAACGCAAAACAAAGGUGAAUCUCACUCUUGAUAAUGGCGAGCUUGGAUCGAACACACCACAUCGCCCUUUAUGCGCUUCCAGUUUAGUCGUCUUUGUAAAUGGGUCAAAACACUUUCAUAAUGUAAAUGUUAAGUUUAUGUCUAAGAUGUUUCGUAAGUAAAUUAGGAUUUUAAAUCUUAUUUUUGGUAGUUCGGACAAAACACUUUUGAUGGAAUCUUGUAUGGUUACAACUU